CGUUUAUUAAUGCGAAUGGUAAUAAAAAUUCAAGACGUGCCUUAUAAUCAACAUUUGAUAAUUAAUAUUUUAGUAACAUAUAUGUAAGAAAUGUAACGCUUCACGGACAGCUGCUACGAGACUUUAGCUUAAACGUGUGCAAACCGCCUUUCACUUCGCCCUCACUUUGCGGGCGGUCGUAAUACGACAUCCAAUAAAUUAAUAGACCCUAGAAUCAGUGUUACAAGUUUCAUCUUAAAAAUAGAACGACAUAUAAAUGAAAAAACAAAAAAAAAAAUUUUUCACUCUAAGACGAAUACACUCUUUAAUUAAUAUUGUAUCGAAGUCAUCUGGUAUCAACUUAUUUGCAAUCUUAUUCACUUUUCAGACGCACCUGAAUACAUUCUGAGCAAGAUAGGAACCCGAAUGCUUAAACUAGGCUCGAAUCUUUUUACAACUCACGCCAUCCGCAGUAUGGGGGGAUCCACUAAAAUAAGGUGGCGAUGCACAAGACAUAAAACAUACUGUAAGGCUGCCGUACACACUAUCGACGAUGAAAUCGUGUCGUUUGGUGUAAAUCACAAUCACGAUUGAUGUCGACCUGUGGGCCGCGAGCCUUAAAUAUACACUCAUAAGAAAUAAUUAUAUUUUUUGAAGAAUCUUUUUUAAAAUUAAGUUGAAUUUGUUAUAAUUAAAAUCUUUAUAUGUAUAAAAUACAAAAAAGAAUAUAUUUGUUGUAAAGUAUCAUCAGAAGUGUCUUAUGUAGUCUGUGUACGUAAAAUUUUAGAUAGUUUUAUACAGGAUGUGUUAGACACGAAGAGAUCAAACAUGUAUAAAUAAUAGGCUUUAAACUUGUUGUUAUAGUGUAGCAAUAUUUGUACUACUAAUUUUAUAGUUUUUUUUACAUUUCUUAUAGAAAAUAAACAGUUUAUAAUACAAUGAUUUUGAUUUUAGAAUCUAAGUAUUUACUAUGACGGGCUAAACUCGAUGAACUUGUAUAUACAUAUAUCUAUUUUAUUAUAACUAAAGUAUCGUUACUAAUAACUAUAGUCCUAAGCUACAACCAUUAUAAUAAUAUUGUGUUAUUUACAGUAUUUUUCGAAUUUAUAAGAGGCAAAAAAGGGAACCGUAUAAUUAAAAUGGGAGGAUAUUAUUACUGUAGUCACAUUUCGAGAAACUGUUGCGCUGGUGAAAAAACUAGAUGGCGCUGUUCAACGAGGAAUUCCCGGGGAUGUAAGGCCGCCAUAUACACUAUAAACGAUGUUGUUGUCUGUGGAAACCCGUAUCACAACCAUUUACCUGACUAUUAACGAAGGUGCUAAUGCCUGAUAUUGAUUACUAAGCAUUCUCUAUUAAAAAAAUCUCUAACUGCGUAGGGUUGUGCUAAAAGUUGGAAUUAUUUAAAACUUUUGUGAAUAAAUAAAACUAAUAUCACCUGGUCUGCUCGUGAUCACGGUUGUAUACAAUUUAGGUUUAAAAUAAUAAAAAAAAGCGUAAUACAUACAAAAAUAUAAGUUUUAUUUAAAUGAAUACUCGCGAGAGUUUUAGAUGUGAUUACAUUUGUGAAUAUUUAAAUGUGAGCCAAUAAAAGAAAAAUUAAUAUAAAAUAUGUACAUACCAAUGGUAGGAUUCGAUGUUAUGGGAAUAAUAGCUUAUAAUACUAUUAAACUCAAUUACGGAAGAAUACAAACUGUUAUUGAUAUUUUCAUCCUUAACUGGCUAUGAAAGUUUCUCACCAACAUCACACUAGGAAAAUAACGGUAAGCAAUUUCAAAUAGAUUUGACAGUUAGAUACAAGCGUACAUAAUAAAGAGAGAGAAUUUGUUACCUCCUUUGAUUAUUUUAUUUCAUCUUAUUUAACCAACGUCAAGAUGAGGUUUUGAUUUUUUUUUUAAUAUAUGUUUUUUUUCUACAUAUUUUCUUGCAGGCUUCUAUAUAAUCAGUUACUGUAGUGUAAUUAUUCUUGUUAAUAAUAUUGAAAUUACAAAGAUUAUGGGAUGUAGGUAUAGUAUAGAGUUUUAUAAGACUGUCUAACGAAUAAUGUACUGCCUCUUACAUUAUUCUUUGUUCUUAAAUAGUGUUAUAAUAUAUGAUUGAUUUUAUUAUUUAUGAUAUAAUUAAGAGUAAAUAUAAUGUAUUUAUUUGUCUUGUAUUUACGUAAACAUAAAUUUACUCCUGUUUUUCCGUAGCACAUAUUGUUUCAGCAUGAAUUUUGUAGUUCAAUUCUUCUUCGGGAAGCGUGGCAGUAGAUACAUGAAACUUAAUGACUACAUAUACACCGUUCAGUUUGAGAAGAAGUUGAGCGAUACCACCACCAAGAUCAGGUGGUACUGCAGAGGGAGGACCAGAGGAUGUAAAGCAUCCGCUUACACUUUGAAUGACGUCAUAUAUUCUUAUAAAGACGCUCACAACCAUUGAACGAUGUCCCAAAAUUAACAGAUGGGUUAUUUGAUCGAAAAAAUCAUGCUUAAUUUUGUAUUUACGAUAAGUGAGAUAAUAUGUAGAAUUAAUUAACUAAUUAAAUAUUUAUAUUU